rnacentral:lncRNA from 1 species
CCAACUAAACCAUUUUCUAUUAUUCUUUUUAUGUUCUUUUUAUUCUCUGAUACCAUCUUAUCUGUCACACCUCGAGCCCGCGUCUUCGGUCAGAUUCGGGCACGUCAACGGACCGCCGAAUGGACAGGGUUUUCCUUAUACCGCGAACAAAGUCUCCCCUGUACGUCCAAGGCGUCACAAUCCAUACAAAGCGCGAGGUUCCAACUAGGAACAGUAUUCAAACAAGGAUUGCAUAAGAAAGUAUCAAAAAUAUAAAUACAACUAUACUAUUACAAGCAUUCAUCUCAAUUUUUUUUACAUAUUAUAUGCAUCUUACAUUUUAGUCUUCCAAAUACAAUCCAAAUUAUUACAAAUUAUUACAAUCUUAUUCUUUUCGUUUCCUUACAUCCCUAAGUA